UACGGAGGGUGCAAGCGUUAUCCGGAUUUACUGGGUUUAAAGGGUGUGUAGGCGGACUUUUAAGUCAGCGGUGAAAUCUCCGGGCUCAACCCGGAAACUGCCAUUGAUACUAUUGGUCUUGAAUGUUGUUGAGGUGGGCGGAACGGGUCAUGUAGCGGUGAAAUGCAUAGAUAUGACCCGGAACACCGAUUGCGAAGGCAGCCCACUAAGCAAUGAUUGACGCUGAGGCACGAAAGCGUGGGGAUCGAACAGG
rnacentral:rRNA from 1 species